rnacentral:rRNA from 1 species
UACGGAGGGUGCAAGCGUUAUCCGGAUUCACUGGGCUUAAAGGGUGCGUAGGUGGGCAGGUAAGUCAGUGGUGAAAUCUCCGGGCUUAACCCGGAAACUGCCGUUGAUACUAUUUGUCUUGAAUGUUGUGGAGGUAAGCGGAAUAUGUCAUGUAGCGGUGAAAUGCUUAGAUAUGACAUAGAACACCAAUUGCGAAGGCAGCUUACUACACAACGAUUGACACUGAGGCACGAAAGCGUGGGGAUCAAACAGG